GUAGUCAUAUGCUUGUCUCAAAGAUUAAGCCAUGCAUGUCUAAGUAUAAACAAAUUUGUACUGUGAAACUGCGAAUGGCUCAUUAAAUCAGUUAUAGUUUAUUUGAUAAUACCUUACUACUUGGAUAACCGUGGUAAUUCUAGAGCUAAUACAUGCAAUAAAAUCCCGACUUCUGGAAGGGAUGUAUUUAUUAGAUAAAAAACCAACCCGGCAACGGUUCUUUGGUGAUUCAUGAUAACUUUUCGAAUCGCAUGGCUUUACGCCGGCGAUGGUUCAUUCAAAUUUCUGCCCUAUCCACUUUCGAUGGUAGGAUAGAGGCCUACCAUGGUUUUAACGGGUAACGGCGAAU
rnacentral:rRNA from 2 species